CGCUUAACCGAGGACUCGCAGCGGAAACUGAUGUGCUAGAGGGUGGAAGAGAGAAGUGGAAUUCUCGGAGUAGCGGUAAAAUGCGUAGAUCUCGAGAGGAACACCAAUGGCGAAGCAGCUUCUNGGUCCAUUCCUGACGUUGAGGCGCGAAAGCGUGGGGAGCAAACAGGAUUAGAUACCCUGGUAGUCCACGCUGUAAACGAUGAUCACUAGACGUUAGUUCUGUUUUCAGAAUUAGUGUCGAAGCUAACGCGUUAAGUGAUUCGCCUGGGAAGUACGGUCGCAAGAUUAAAACUCAAAGGAAUUGACGGGGGUCCGCACAAGCGGUGGAACAUGUGGUUUAAUUCGACACUACGCGAGGAACCUUACC
rnacentral:rRNA from 1 species